rnacentral:tRNA from 1 species
CGGGGUGUAGCCCAGUUGGCAGGGCGCGACAUUUGGGAUGUCGAGGCCGGGAGUUCGAUUCUCCCCACUCCGACCA